ensembl:ncRNA F14F3.15 ncRNA
AACUGAAAAAGAGUACAUGCUUACUUUGACGUUAAUGGAACUUCUAGAAGUAUCAGAUAAUGUAUUAGAAAAUAGGUACCUGAUUAUCAUAUGGGCCAGUGACUCGGAGACGAGUGAUAAAGUAUCACAUGUAACUGAGCA